GAGACUAGAAUUGCAUAACCAAGUCUAGUAUUGAUUAUUAAGCUUUUGAUGUGAUUUCUUGACGUGAUUUAAAUCUUUAUCUAUUUGAAACUGAUAUUAUCAGGAUAGCACAUGUUAAGAAACGACCAUGUUGGCUGAGUAAGUCUAAAUGGCUAUAUAAUGGAUUUCUAAAGGAUAAAUGCUAGUUGAAUGAAAGAAUAACAAGAAUAGGUAGUGAUGGCUGAAGUUAGACAUGAAUUUUAGUUUGGGGGGAAAUAAAAAAAAUCGUGGCUAGUCUUGUUUUGGGGCCUUUGUUACUUGAGUAAGUAAGCCCGAGGGAGUGUCUCUACACCUAGCGCCCUAAGGUCUUAAUGGUCUGGGAGUCGUUGGUCGAAAGCUCACUAAGGGGUAGCACUGUUAGCCUAAUGGAAUGAGACAUUGCACAGUCAUGGGAAAUAGAAAAAAAUGAAAUGGGAAAAAGUGCAAAAAUCCCCCGUUAGAAAAAAAAAUAUAAAAUAAAAAUAAAGCAUAAGUAUUCCAUCUUGACCCCUGGUAUUUGAUAAGUGUGUGAUUUUAGCCGGAUCUAGUUUGUUUUUGGAGUUCUCGAGCUUAUACUGUAUGAUGCCUUCCAAGAAAUUUAUUAUGUGUCGUAUUUUGAUUUUCAUCAGUUAGCAUGGUUGUUGAACACACACGCACGAUAUCAGUAAUAACAGCUUUAGAUUUGAUGAUUGUUGAGAGAUUAAUGAUUUGUCCUGAUAUGAUGUACUAACAUGUUAUUGUGAUUUCUCUGAGGCCUGAUGGGUAUACUUUGUUCUGUUUGACUGCUGGAAUUAUCAACAUGUAGAUAGUUAUAAUUGCAUUUGCAUGGUAUAUUUAGUUUUUCUUGUUGCAUUGUGUUUUGUUACUUGAGGACAAACAACGAUUCAAGUUUGGGGGUAUUUGAUG
rnacentral:lncRNA from 1 species